UGGCUCUCCUAACUGUGGUGUGUCUAAGAGAUGGUGAGGUAUGGCUCUCCUAACUGUGGUGUGUCUAAGAGAUGGUGAGGUAUGGCUCUCCUAUCGGUGGUGUGUCUAAGAGAUGGUGAGGUAUGGCUCUCCUAACUGUGGUGUGUCUAAGAGAUGGUGAGGUAUGGCUCUCCUAACUGUGGUGUGUCUUAGAGAUGGUGAGGUAUGGCUCUCCUAACUGUGGUGUGUCUUAGAGAUGGUGAGGUAUGGCUCUCCUAACUGUGGUGUGUCUUAGAGAUGGUGAGGUAUGUCUCUCCUAACUGUGGUGUGUCUAAGAGAUGGUGAGGUAUGGCUCUCCUAACUGUGGUGUGUCUAGGAGAUGGUGAGGUAUGGCUCUCCUAACUGUGGUGUGUCUAAGAGCUGUGAGUCUUUCUGGGUAAGUCUCUAAGAGCUGUGAGUCUUUCUGGGUAAGUCUCUAAGAGCUGUGAGUCUUUCUGGGUAAGUCUCUAAGAGCUGUGAGUCUUUCUGGGUAAGUCUCUAAGAGCUGUGAGUCUUUCUGGGUAAGUCUCUAAGAGCUGUUAGUCUUUCUGGGUAAGUCUCUAAGAGCUGUGAGUCUUUCUCGGUAAGUCUCUAAGAGCUGUGUGUCUUUCUGGGUAAGUCUAAGAGCUGUGAGUCUUUCUGGGUAAGUCUCUAAGAGCUGUGAGUGUUUCUGGGUAAGUCUCUAAGAGCUGUGUGUCUUUCUGGGUAAGUCUCUAAGAGCUGUGAGUCUUUCUGGGUAAGUCUCUAAGAGCUGUGAGUCUUUCUGGGUAAGUCUCUAAGAGCUGUGAGUCUUUCUGGGUAAGUCUCUAAGAGCUGUGAGUCUUUCUGGGUAAGUCUCUAAGAGCUGUGAGUCUUUCUGGGUAAGUCUCUAAGAGCUGUGAGUCUUUCUGGGUAAGUCUCUAAGAGCUGUGAGUCUUUCUGGGUAAGUCUCUAAGAGC